CCGCCAACGUCCAAUGGGGAGACUGUAAGUCUCCACGAGAACCGUAUUUAAGGUGCCCCCGAGGGCUGGGAGUCGACAUCUUUCACCACAUUUCACCGACGCUCUUCCGGGCUGCACUGACCGUACACGUGGAUUUAAGGUGAUCGAGCGGCGUCUGCCGUCGGCAUGGCAUCGGUGUCCUUCAAGCUCUCCUUGGUCUUGCUCCUGGCGACGCUGCUGGUGAUGCAAGGGGCCUACUGCCAGAUCACGUUCUCAAAAAACUGGCAACCUGGCAAGCGCUCCGAGAUAUGCUCUCAGAAAGAGGCACAGGCCAUCAUCAAGCUACGGCAUUUUCUGCUGGAAGAGGCCAAACACCUCGAAGAAUGCCGCCUUUUUUAUGGGAACGAAGCUGCCAAUGAAGACUGAAAGGAAUGCUGGUUGUGCCACGUUUAUUAUUCACAUUCAUCACUGAAUUAUCCUGAGAGCUCAUGCUCGUACUAAAAAUAAAAUAAAUGCACCAAAUAACAUCGCACUGAUUACGUGUACAUCUGUACAUG
rnacentral:lncRNA from 1 species